rnacentral:snoRNA from 1 species
UUUUUAUGAUGACAUCAAUAACUUGGUCUGUGUUACUGAAAUAACAUUGAGAUGAGAAAAUACAGUUUUGUGACUGAAAAA